rnacentral:rRNA from 1 species
UACAGAGGUCCCAAGCGUUGUUCGGAUCCACUGGGCGUAAAGGGUGCGUAGGUGGCCGGGAUAGUUCGGUGUAAAAGCUCCAAGCUCAACUUGGAAAUGUCACCGAAAACUUCCUGGCUUGAGGGUUGAAGGGGAGACUGGAAUUCUCGGUGUAGCAGUGAGAUGCGUAGAUAUCGAGAGGAACACCGGUGGCGAAGGCGAGUCUCAAGGCAAUUCCUGUCACUGAGGCGCGAGAGCUGGGGGAGCAAACAGG